GGGCGUAAAGAGUGCGCAGGCGGUUUUGCAAGACCGAUGUGAAAUCCCCGGGCUUAACCUGGGAACUGCAUUGGUGACUGCAAGGCUAGAGUGUGUCAGAGGGAGGUGGAAUUCCGCAUGUAGCAGUGAAAUGCGUAGAUAUGCGGAGGAACACCGAUGGCGAAGGCAGCCUCCUGGGAUAACACUGACGCUCAUGCACGAAAGCGUGGGGAGCAAACAGGAUUAGAUACCCUGGUAGUCCACGCCCUAAACGAUGUCUACUAGUUGUCGGGGAUUAAUUUCCUUGGUAACGCAGCUAACGCGUGAAGUAGACCGCCUGGGGAGUACGGUCGCAAGAUUAAAACUCAAAGGAAUUGACGGGGACCCGCACAAGCGGUGGAUGAUGUGGAUUAAUUCGAUGCAACGCGAAAAACCUUACCUACGCUUGACAUGUCCGGAACCCUGAAGAGAUUUGGGGGUGCUCGAAAGAGAGCCGGAACACAGGUGCUGCAUGGCUGUCGUCAGCUCGUGUCGUGAGAAG
rnacentral:rRNA from 1 species